CGGGGUGAGUAAUGCGUGGAUAACCUGCCUCACACUGGGGGAUAACAGUUAGAAAUGGCUGCUAAUACCGCAUAAGCGCACAGUACCGCAUGGUACGGUGUGAAAAACUCCGGUGGUGUGAGAUGGAUCCGCGUCUGAUUAGUUAGUUGGCGGGGUAACGGCCCACCAAGACAGCGAUCAGUAGCCGACCUGAGAGGGUGACCGGCCACAUUGGGACUGAGACACGGCCCAA
rnacentral:rRNA from 1 species